rnacentral:rRNA from 1 species
GACGAACGCUGGCGGCGUGCUUAACACAUGCAAGUCGAACGGAAAGGCCCUUCGGGGUCCUCGAGUGACGAACGGGUGAGUAACACGUGGGUGAUCUGCCCUGCACUUUGGGAUAAGCCUGGGAAACUGGGUCUAAUACCGAAUAGGACCACGCGCUUCAUGGUGUGUGGUGGAAAGCUUUUGCGGUGUGGGAUGGGCCCGCGGCCUAUCAGCUUGUUGGUGGGGUAAUGGCCUACCAAGGCGACGACGGGUAGCCGGCCUGAGAGGGUGACCGGCCACACUGGGACUGAGAUACGGCCCAGACUCCUACGGGAGGCAGCAGUGGGGAAUAUUGCACAAUGGGCGCAAGCCUGAUGCAGCGACGCCGCGUGAGGGAUGACGGCCUUCGGGUUGUAAACCUCUUUCAAUAGGGACGAAGCGCAAGUGACGGUACCUAUAGAAGAAGCACCGGCCAACUACGUG